AGAGUUUGAUCCUGGCUCAGGAUGAACGCUGGCGGUAUGCUUAACACAUGCAAGUCGAACGGUGUCUUCGGACACAGUGGCGGACGGGUGAGUAACGCGUGAGAAUCUGCCUCUAGGUUGGGGACAACAGUUGGAAACGACUGCUAAUACCCAAUUUGCCGUAAGGUGAAAGAUUUAUUGCCUGGAGAGGAGCUCGCGUCUGAUUAGCUAGUUGGUGAGGUAAAGGCUUACCAAGGCAUCGAUCAGUAGCUGGUCUGAGAGGAUGAGCAGCCACACUGGGUCUGAGACACGGCCCAGACUCCUACGGGAGGCAGCAGUGGGGAAUUUUCCGCAAUGGGCGAAAGCCUGACGGAGCAAUACCGCGUGAGGGAGGAAGGCCUUUGGGUUGUAAACCUCUUUUCUCAGGGAAGAAGAUCUGACGGUACCUGAGGAAUAAGCAUCGGCUAACUCCGUGCCAGCAGCCGCGGUAAUACGGAGGAUGCAUGCGUUAUCCGGAAUCAUUGGGCGUAAAGCGUCCGCAGGUGGUUUUUCAAGUCUGCUGUUAAAGACUGGAGCUCAACUCCGGAAAGGCAGUGGAAACUGAGAAACUAGAGUUCGGUAGGGGUAGCGGGAAUUCCCAGUGUAGCGGUGAAAUGCGUAGAUAUUGGGAAGAACAUCGGUGGCGAAGGCGCGCUACUGGACCGAAACUGACACUCAGGGACGAAAGCUAGGGUAGCGAAAGGGAUUAGAUACCCCUGUAGUCCUAGCUGUAAACGAUGGAAACUAGGUGUGGCUUGUAUCGACCCGAGCCGUGCCGUAGCUACGCGUUAAGUUUCCCGCCUGGGGAGUACGCACGCAAGUGUGAAACUCAAAGGAAUUGACGGGGGCCCGCACAAGCGGUGGAGUAUGUGGUUUAAUUCGAUGCAACGCGAAGAACCUUACCAGGGCUUGACAUGUCGCGAAUCUUGGUGAAAGCUGAGAGUGCCUUCGGGAGCGCGAACACAGGUGGUGCAUGGCUGUCGUCAGCUCGUGUCGUGAGAUGUUGGGUUAAGUCCCGCAACGAGCGCAACCCUCGUCUUUAGUUGCCAGCAUUAAGUUGGGCACUUUAGAGAGACUGCCGGUGACAAACCGGAGGAAGGUGGGGAUGACGUCAAGUCAGCAUGCCCCUUACGCCCUGGGCUACACACGUACUACAAUGGUUGGGACAAAGGGCAGCAAACCCGCGAGGGUAAGCGAAUCUCAUCAAACCCAGCCUCAGUUCAGAUUGCAGGCUGCAACUCGCCUGCAUGAAGGAGGAAUCGCUAGUAAUCGCAGGUCAGCAUACUGCGGUGAAUUCGUUCCCGGGCCUUGUACACACCGCCCGUCACACCAUGGAAGCUGGUCACGCCCGAAGUAGUUACCCUAACCUUUCGGGGGGGGGGACUCCUAAGGCAGGGCUAGUGACUGGGGUGAAGUCGUAACAAGGUA
rnacentral:rRNA from 1 species